GGACGUGGAUGCGUUGUUGAAUAAAUGAUGUGACGAAGAGUAUCAGGAGUAUGCUGACCAUAUGAAGCAAUUACGAGCAUUGCAAAAUACUCCUCAUUGCACGGGGACCAAAAGCUAUGCGAGGUUGUCACACGAAGAAACUGUCAAGGAUGGCACUCCUCCUACGCGAGCACAAGCGUACAUAAAAACUCACACGAAGAAGGAUGGAAGCUAUCCAAAUGAUAUAGUAAAAGAGAGAUGUGAAAGGAUGGUGAUGCUAAUGCCAACCGAUUCUGCCGAUUCGUCAAGCGUAACACAAGGAACGGUACGUUGGAGACAUGACGAUGC